UAGAAAUAUUUUUCACUUUUCUUUUGUUGUGUUUCAGACAUUCUGUGAAGACCUUGGCAAGGACCAGUUGUGUAAAAUAAUGGAAGACAUCAUGUCUGUGUAUGAUGCAGAAUUACGAGAGAGUUAGAAGUGAAAACAGUAAUGUAUAUGUCUAUUUUUGUUUUAAUGAAGUUUAUUGAUGCAGAAUUACGUGACAGUUAGAAGUGAAAACAUUAAUGUAUAUGUCUGUUUUGUUUUAAUGAAGUUUAUUGAUGCAGAAUUACGUGACAGUUAGAAGUGAAAACAUUAAUGUAUAUGUCUAUUUUUGUUUUAAUGAAGUUUAUUGAUGCAGAAUUACGUGACAGUUAGAAGUGAAAACAUUAAUGUAUAUGUCUGUUUUUGUUUUAAUGAAGUUUAUUGAUGCAGAAUUACGUGACAGUUAGAAGUGAAAACAUUAAUGUAUAUGUCUGUUUUUGUUUUAAUGAAGUUUAUUGAUGCAGAAUUACGUGACAGUUAGAAGUGAAAACAUUAGUGUAUAUGUCUAUUUUUGUUUUAAUGAAGUUUAUUAUACUGCUUUAGCUUAAAAUCCGUGUUUGAUUUAUAAGACCAAAAACAACAAAAAUAAAACCUUAAUUAUUUAUUACCAAGUAUACAAAUUUCCAGUAAAAAGUCUACAUGCAUUUCAAUUCUACUUUGUUUUUUCUACAGUUCUGUCUCCAGAGCUUUUCCUCGAUACCAAACUUAUCCAGCAGGCUGGAUCACGACAACAAAAUCUUGAUUGAAAUGUUAUUCAUAUCAGUCUUUUUUAGUAGUAGAAUAGCUGAUGUGGUUGAAAAGAUUUCUAAUGGCGAUUGUAGCUGUUGUCCAUCCAAGUGGAAAAUUAUUAAAAAUUCAACAAGAAAAAUUCCCUUUAAAUACUUGGCCUUAACAAAUAUUUAGUUGUUUAAUUACACACCGAAUAAAAGUUAUCUAGUACUAAGUGUUUUAUUGUUCUGCUUAUAUAAGUAUAUUAGCGUAAGUAAAAACAACUAUAAAUAAAAACACCAGUUAGGAUUGUACACUUCAAAUAUUUUGAUUUAACACGUUGUUUUAUAUUUCUAAGGGCAAAUGUAGCUUUCGGCCACCCAAUGGCUACUUUUCAAGUGCCUCUUCAAAUACUUAGUAGUUUAAUUACACCACCGAUAAAAGUUCUCAAAUACUAGACUGUCUUAAUUGUGGUUUUAGAUUACUUAUUGUCAAUUUAGGUUACAGCAAUAAAGCGCGAUAUCCAAGUGGAAAAGAAAAGAAUUAAAAACACUUAUUACCAAGGUAAUACUUUGUAGUUAAGUUACACUCUUCAUAAAGGUUCUCAAAUACUAGAUCGCCUCCUUUGUUCAGGAUUUAGAUUUCUAUUAGCCAAGGUAGUUUUCGGGUGUCAAGGAGACCGUACCAAGUGGAAAAAAAUACGAUAAAGAAAUUGAAAUUAGAAAUGUAUGCUUCAAAUACCUUGGUUUAACAAAUACCUAGAAAUGUCAAUAAAU